rnacentral:rRNA from 1 species
AGUGACGAUAGCCUAGGAGAUACACCUGUACCCAUGCCGAACACAGAAGUUAAGCCCUAGAACGCCGGAAGUAGUUGGGGGUUGCCCCCUGUGAGAUAGGGAAAUCGCUUAGCU